rnacentral:rRNA from 1 species
UAAGGAAUAUUGGUCAAUGGGCGCAAGCCUGAACCAGCCAUGCCGCGUGCAGGAAGACGGCCCUAUGGGUUGUAAACUGCUUUUAUCAGGGAAUAAACCCCCGCUCGUGAGCGGGGCUGAAGGUACCUGAAGAAUAAGCAUCGGCUAACUCCGUGCCAGCAGCCGCGGUAAUACGGAGGAUGCAAGCGUUAUCCGGAUUCAUUGGGUUUAAAGGGUGCGCAGGCGGAUUGGUAAGUCAGGGGUGAAAUCCCACAGCUCAACUGUGGAACUGCCUUUGAUACUGUCAGUCUAGAGUAUAGUUGAAGUUGGCGGAAUGUGUCAUGUAGCGGUGAAAUGCUUAGAUAUGACACAGAACACCGAUCGCGAAGGCAGCUAGCUAAGCUAUAACUGACGCUCAUGCACGAAAGCGUGGGGAUCAAACAGGAUUAGAUACCCUGGUAGUCCACGCUGUAAACGAUGAUUACUCGAUGUUGGCGAUACACAGUCAGCGUCUGAGCGAAAGCAAUAAGUAAUCCACCUGGGGAGUACGAUCGCAAGAUUG